UUAUCAAUAGUCACGGUCCCUGGCCCCUCCCACAUAAAAAUCAUUAGCAAGGUCACUGCAGGCAAUAGCUUCAGCAUUGUUAUUGUAUAAACAUGUCUUAAACAUUAUAAACGGCCCUAUUUGUGGGGUUACAUUGGGUUCUUGCUGGGGUAAUGAUGUCCAUGUCCCAUUCUGCGUUUUGUGGACUUGUAAAUCAGUCCAGCAGUGACAUUGCGUUUUGUGGACAUGUAAGUCUGUCCCGCAGUACCAAGUUUCACCCCAGCAAUAACCAAUAAGACCUGCACGUGACCUUAAAGUAAAUAGCUAUGCAAGUGUGGUCGAGACAAAACGCGAUGUAUGCAUUGGAAGAAGGAAAUCUGCGAAGAGUAGCAGGAACUGUCUGUCCAGCUCUCGUUUAUGAAACAAUGGGCGAUUUGAAAGACGUCUCCUGAACAGAUCGCCCAUUGUUCACUGAAGCAGCAGUCGAAUUGUCUCCAAUUUUUUCAGGGGGAUUGCUCCAUCUCGUGUGGUUUCGCUGUCCCGUCCCAAGAAUCGAGCCAACGCGACCGAGGCCACUUCUGAGAGAUAAAUAUUCAGGAUGCCAGAUUUAUGGAACACAAUUGAGGCCAGUAGUCAAGAGCCAUGAUCUGGGAACAGCAGUUCCCAACGGAAUUGACCCUUUUCUUGUUGUUAUUCAUGCUGUUGGCUCAGAAUGGGUUGACACUCACCUGUUUUCGACCCUGAAAAUUAAACAUCGAACAUUGUUACUCUUUGUUAAAAGUGAACCUUGCAAAAUAUGUGCUUAUUCCUGAAAUCAAUAGCACUUCAUGUAUGUACUCACUGAUCCAGAAUAUUGCUAUUUCUUGUUCCGUUUUCAAUGUGGCAAUCUAUUUACCGUAUCCGAGCUAUUUCACAGCACAAGAAGUGCAACAUUACAACAAUGGAGCUAUUUCUUGAUCACAGCACAAAUGUGUUUCUACAUUGUUUUACUCAAAUGAUGCAUGGAUGAGCCUUAUUGACAUAUUUGUUUUCAAGAGAAAUUGGUUGUAGGUUUUCUUUCUUUUUUCUUAAGGCAGGCCUAAUUUAACAGAAGGCCUAUAUUUUAGGUAGGAUAUUAUUUAUACUAUAGGCCCAUAUCAGUUUUGAGAUCAAUUUCCUCUUGAAGGCAAUAAACGUCAAUCGAGUCUCUGCACCAUUUUGAUUGGGCGGUUUUGGGCUAAAAUACAGUACAAGAGAAUGCUCCAUUGGUGUCAACAGAAUAUGUCAUUGUUUUGGUCAGCAAUCAGUUCUUGCCACCUUGAAAGCGGUCACGGUUACUUACGACUUGUGCAUUGUUCAAGUGUUAUUAUGCUAUUGUCAUUUGCCUUUGCCCCCCCCCCCAUCCUUAUCGACACUCACAGUGCACCACCCUCAAUCCCAUGCCCCGCAUGCGCACUCACCCAACAUCUGAUCCCUUGACACGCUUGCUCAAGCGGCUCAAGCGGCGUCAGCAGUAUCAACGUUGUGUUAUUGUAUUCCAAGUUUUGCAUUAUUCAUAUGCAUGUACUUGCCAAAUAAAUGUUGUCAUGUCAGAA